rnacentral:lncRNA from 1 species
GCGGAGGUGGCACCAUUGCACUCCAGCCUUGUCAACAAGAGCAAAACUCUAUCUCAAAAAAAAAAAAAAAAGAAAGAAAAAAAGUGUGAACCAGAAGAAAAUUCCCUACAACCUCACCCCAUUUUCUUCCAUCUUAAUCUAGUCUAUAAACUCUCUCCCCAUAACUAUAAGUAUGGACUGCACAUGCACUUUGCUGGGUAGAGGGGGCCGGUAACUUAUUGAAAGCUGUUCAAAGGUCUCUUGAUUCAGAAAAAAGAAAACGAUGAGGGAUCUUGCCCCAAGGGUUGGAGAGGACAUCUCCUCAAAGCCCCCUUCUGUGCCCAGGGAGUAGAAAUCAGGCCCAG